GUCCACGCCUAACGAUGUCUACUAGUUGUCGGUCUUAAUUGACUUGGUAACGCAGCUAACGCGUGAAGUAGACCGCCUGGGAGUACGGUCGCAAGAUUAAACUCAAGGAAUUGACGGGACCCGCACAAGCGGUGGAUGAUGUGGAUUAAUUCGAUGCAACGCGAAACCUUACCUACCUUGACAUGGACGGAAUCCUUGAGAGAUCGAGGAGUGCUCGAAAGAGAGCCGUCACACAGGUGCUGCAUGGCUGUCGU
rnacentral:rRNA from 1 species